rnacentral:rRNA from 1 species
CAGUCGCCGCGGUAAUACGAAGGGUGCAAGCGUUACUCGGAAUUACUGGGCGUAAAGCGUGCGUAGGUGGUUGUUUAAGUCUGCUGUGAAAGCCCUGGGCUCAACCUGGGAAUUGCAGUGGAUACUGGGCAACUAGAGUAAGGUAGAGGAUAGUGGAAUUUCCGGUGUAGCAGUGAAAUGCGUAGAGAUCGGAAGGAACAUCUGUGGCGAAGGCGACUAUCUGGGCCAUUACUGACACUGAGGCACGAAAGCGUGGGGAGCAAACAGGAUUAGAUACCCCGGUAGUCCCUGUCUCUUAUAU